rnacentral:rRNA from 1 species
UACGUAGGGUGCAAGCGUUGUCCGGAAUUAUUGGGCGUAAAGAGCUCGUAGGCGGUUUGUUGCGUCGGCUGUGAAAUCCCGAGGCUCAACCUCGGGUCUGCAGCCGAUACGGGCAGGCUAGAGUUCGGUAGGGGAGACUGGAAUUCCUGGUGUAGCGGUGAAAUGCGCAGAUAUCAGGAGGAACACCGGUGGCGAAGGCGGGUCUCUGGGCCGAUACUGACGCUGAGGAGCGAAAGCGUGGGGAGCGAACAGG